GAUGAACGCUGGCGGCGUGCCUAAUACAUGCAAGUCGAGCGAACGGACGAGAAGCUUGCUUCUCUGAUGUUAGCGGCGGACGGGUGAGUAACACGUGGAUAACCUACCUAUAAGACUGGGAUAACUUCGGGAAACCGGAGCUAAUACCGGAUAAUAUUUUGAACCGCAUGGUUCAAAAGUGAAAGACGGUCUAGCUGUCACUUAUAGAUGGAUCCGCGCUGCAUUAGCUAGUUGGUAAGGUAACGGCUUACCAAGGCAACGAUGCAUAGCCGACCUGAGAGGGUGAUCGGCCACACUGGAACUGAGACACGGUCCAGACUCCUACGGGAGGCAGCAGUAGGGAAUCUUCCGCAAUGGGCGAAAGCCUGACGGGGCAACGCCGCGUGAGUGAUGAAGGUCUUCGGAUCGUAAAACUCUGUUAUUAGGGAAGAACAUAUGUGUAAGUAACUGUGCACAUCUUGACGGUACCUAAUCAGAAAGCCACGGCUAACUACGUG
rnacentral:rRNA from 1 species